GAAUGUGAGGAUGAUCUGGCUGCGAUGUCUGUCACCCCAUUGAUCGCUAGGAUUGAUUCCUCUGAUCUGGCUGGCUAGGCAGGUGUCCCCUUCCUCCCUUACUGCUCCAUGUGCGUCCUCCCGAAGCUGCGCUCUAGGUGGAAGAGGACUGCCUUCCCGGAAUAGAGACAGAACCUAUCUUUGGUGGAGGGCAUAUGAGUAGCUGUGCUCUCCUGCUAGAACCUCCAAACAAGCUCUCACUUUGGAUUGUAAAACUUGAGUCCCAGUUCUGUUUGUUCUGUGAUAGUACAAGUUUUCCAUUACAUAAAAAUAAAAACCUAGAAAACCCAUGAAAACAUGUCUUAUCU
rnacentral:snRNA from 1 species